AUUGAACGCUGGCGGCAGGCCUAACACAUGCAAGUCGAACGGUAGCACAGAGAGCUUGCUCUCGGGUGACGAGUGGCGGACGGGUGAGUAAUGUCUGGGAAACUGCCCGAUGGAGGGGGAUAACUACUGGAAACGGUAGCUAAUACCGCAUAAUGUCGCAAGACCAAAGAGGGGGACCUUCGGGCCUCUUGCCAUCGGAUGUGCCCAGAUGGGAUUAGCUUGUAGGUGAGGUAACGGCUCACCUAGGCGACGAUCCCUAGCUGGUCUGAGAGGAUGACCAGCCACACUGGAACUGAGACACGGUCCAGACUCCUACGGGAGGCAGCAGUGGGGAAUAUUGCACAAUGGGCGCAAGCCUGAUGCAGCCAUGCCGCGUGUAUGAAGAAGGCCUUCGGGUUGUAAAGUACUUUCAGCGGGGAGGAAGGGAGUGAGGUUAAUAACCUUAUUCAUUGACGUUACCCGCAGAAGAAGCACCGGCUAACUCCGUGCCAGCAGCCGCGGUAAUACGGAGGGUGCGAGCGUUAAUCGGAAUUACUGGGCGUAAAGCGCACGCAGGCGGUCUGUCAAGUCGGAUGUGAAAUCCCCGGGCUCAACCUGGGAACUGCAUUCGAAACUGGCAGGCUGGAGUCUUGUAGAGGGGGGUAGAAUUCCAGGUGUAGCGGUGAAAUGCGUAGAGAUCUGGAGGAAUACCGGUGGCGAAGGCGGCCCCCUGGACAAAGACUGACGCUCAGGUGCGAAAGCGUGGGGAGCAAACAGGAUUAGAUACCCUGGUAGUCCACGCUGUAAACGAUGUCGACUUGGAGGUUGUUCCCUUGAGGAGUGGCUUCCGGAGCUAACGCGUUAAGUCGACCGCCUGGGGAGUAGGGCCGCAAGGUUAAAACUCAAAUGAAUUGACGGGGGCCCGCACAAGCGGUGGAGCAUGUGGUUUAAUUCGAUGCAACGCGAAGAACCUUACCUACUCUUGACAUCCAGAGAACUUAGCAGAGAUGCUUUGGUGCCUUCGGGAACUCUGAGACAGGUGCUGCAUGGCUGUCGUCAGCUCGUGUUGUGAAAUGUUGGGUUAAGUCCCGCAACGAGCGCAACCCUUAUCCUUUGUUGCCAGCGGUCCGGCCGGGAACUCAAAGGAGACUGCCAGUGAUAAACUGGAGGAAGGUGGGGAUGACGUCAAGUCAUCAUGGCCCUUACGAGUAGGGCUACACACGUGCUACAAUGGCAUAUACAAAGAGAAGCGACCUCGCGAGAGCAAGCGGACCUCAUAAAGUAUGUCGUAGUCCGGAUUGGAGUCUGCAACUCGACUCCAUGAAGUCGGAAUCGCUAGUAAUCGUGGAUCAGAAUGCCACGGUGAAUACGUUCCCGGGCCU
rnacentral:rRNA from 1 species